rnacentral:rRNA from 1 species
AUGGUUUGUAGUGAUGAAUGGGAAGCAUGCAAGCACACGAAAACGGUGAAAGGAAAGGCGGCCAACGCCACAAUAAUGAGUAGGGGCUUUUGGAAAAAUGUAUCACUUUGCAUCAAGGUUUUUGAGCCAUUGGUGAAGGUGCUUCGGUUGGCUGAUGGGGAUGGUCCAUCUAUGGCUUCUAUGUAUGGAGAACUAAUAAGUGCAAAAAGGGAAAUCAAGGUUGCUGUUGAAAAUUUAGAAAAAGACUAUUUGGUGAUCACUAAUGCCAUGAAUACCAAGAUGAGUGGGAGGCUGGAUUCUCCAUUGCACAUGGCAGCAUACAUCUUGAAUCCCAAAUAUAGUUAUGCUGACCCGAGCAUCUUUACAUAUGUGGAGGUAGUGGCUGCGCUUAUGGAAGUCAUGGAGACAUUUUAU